rnacentral:lncRNA from 1 species
ACAGUUGACAUCUGAAAGUCUUACAGUAAGUCAUAACAUAAGUUCGCAGUGCAGUGAAAAUAGUGAAGCAAGAUGGAUCUAACCAAAAUAAACAAAUUCUCGCUUAUUGCAGAGAGAAAGCCAGUCCAAAAUUUGAGGGACCUACCUGUCGACACUCCAUUUAUAAUUUACUCAGCGAAAAUAGUAAAAAGCAAGUUUGGGGAGGUUGUAUUGCUUGAACUAGAAGAAAGCGUGGUUUUCCUACCGGGCAGAGUGACAUUUGCCAUUUGUGCAAGAAUUUUCUAGCCAAAAAUAUUCCCUCGUCUACAAAGGCGUCAUCAAUAUUGGAAAGCAACAUCCUGCAUCAUAUUUUGAAGUUAUUGAAAAGUAGAAGCAGUACACCAUCCGGAUAACAGUCUAGCUUUAGAGGUACAUCCGCUGUAAACUAACCCUCAGCAAAAACUUCAAGCUAGCAACAAUCAUCUGGAACAACAUCAUAGCAUCUCUCUGAACCAACUUCAAGCUAGUAACAACAUCUGAAGCCGAUAGGGAAAACAAUAAGUGAGUUUUCAUUUUUUCCAAUUAUUAUUAUUAUGAGUGGCAUAGGGACCAUCAGUAAUGACAUUGUACAAAAUUUAAUUAAAGCGCGAGAUAUUUUGUUUCAAAAUUAUACACCGCGAGAAGCAAAUAUUUGGCUAAAACAUAUUCGGAGACAUUUAACAUUGUUUAAUAAAGCUAUUCGGUAUGGAGACUUGGACGUACCAAAAUUACGACAAUUGCAAACAAACGUUGGACACUUAAAAACAGUCAAAUUAGAAAUUCAAAAUUUUUCUCAUCACGUGGGUGGGGGCAUUAAGUUAAAUGGGACGCAGCAAAGUUAAAUGGGACGAUGUAACUUCAUCGUUUGCAAGUCGGGUUAGAACGGGAAUAAUUAUUAUUGUAGCGCAUAAGGACUUAAUACAAUUUUUCAGUGAUUGUUUCAAGCUUUUCAAAAGAAUUAAAAAUAUUUAAAAAAAAUAUAAUGUAAUAAAAUGUAAUACCACCUUUUGUGGAAAGUUUAUAAGAAAAGCAAAUCAGGGGGGAAAUAGUGAAUUUAAAUAUUUUAAUACAAAAAUAUUUUAAUACAAAAUAGACGUGGGGACAGACUUGAUGUUGUGGUUCCACUCGAACGUAAUUGAUAAAAUUAUGACAAAAUUAGCAGAGUUUGAGAAAAAGGGAUCAGGGUGGGCUUUUGAAAAAAUAAUAUCUUUGGAGGUUAAUAUUAACAAAUA